AUACUUACCUGGCAAGGGAGACACCGUGAUCACCAAGGCGGUUCACCCAGGGCGAGGCUCGGCCAUUGCACUCCGGCUGUGCUGACCCCUGCGAUUUCCCAAAUGUGGAAAUCUCGAUUGCAUAAUUUCCUGGUAGUGGGGACUGCGUUCGCGCGCUCACCUC
rnacentral:snRNA from 1 species